rnacentral:lncRNA from 1 species
UUUUCCUUCUUCUUCUUCUUUUUCUUUUCUUCUUCCCGUAGGCUUGUUUUUGACCGAAACAGGGGAUCUUUGAUCCCCUCAUUGGUUGGCCGGCCGGCAGCGCAGCCGGUGCGGGGAUGGUCGGCGGCCGAAGGAGAGGUGACCCGAUGGCAAGAGGAGAUCAAACCGAUGGUCGGCGGUGACCACUGGCGACGAAAAAAUGGUAAAAAGGAAGGUUCUUCCGCAAUAAAAUCCAGUAACUUCGGUCGCCGACGAGCGUGCACAUCGGCACGGGAAGGAAGGGGGAGAAGAGAGGAAGGGGAGGAGGCUUACCUCCAUUACCGGCGAAGCUUUUUCGAUGAGAAAUUGGACGGCACAGUGACGGGUCUCCGUGAGAAAUUUUCGACGAUUGCCACCGUUUUGCCUCAGGAUUCUUUGGUAGGAAGAAGGGAGAAGGGUCUCCCCUUUAAAUAGAACCGGAGGAGACGAGUUUGACUCCUCUCCGGUGAGGUUUCCGACUCCAAUUAGGAGCCGGUCGGGAGAAGAAGACUCCCUGCGGGAGUCUUCAUCAUUUUUUUUUGUUUGUUUGGGCUGGCUGGGCUAUCACAAUUUGGGUGUGGUUAAUCUCCUUGCAGGAUGAGAUGGCUGUAUUCUGUCCUUGUUUGAUAGUGUCGUCAGCCUUAUGUUUCCAUCAUUUUCAGCAGGUGCCAUCUAGCCUGCUAAUAGAGGUACCUGGUGGUGGAACAAGUAACUUGGUAUCAAAUCCCCCCUUCCUACUAGGAUCUGGAGUUUGAGGGAGGCCUGUCCUUGGCAAUUAGCCAUCUACAGAAAAGAGGGGAAGCUUUCUGUCAAUUCUUUAGGCACUUCUGACAUAAAAUUGACCUAGUUCUCACUGCUAUAAUGCAGAGACGCAAAUUGAGCAGGUUGAUUAAGGCCAAACACUAGUCAAACACUAGUCCAACCUAACGUAUAUAUUUUCGAACCCUAACUUAAACCAACUUAAUGUGGGUUAGGCUUUUGCCUGGCCUAAUCCAACCCUCUCUUAAACUAAAUUUAAGUCAUCUUGAACAACAUUUAAUUCAGUUAGGUUAUUUGGGUUGGUUGCAUCAAGCCAUGUUAAUCUGGUUAGAUUGAUUGAAUCAAAUGUUGUUGGUUUGAGGUCUCAAUCAUUCAUCAAUUUAAGUGACAAGCUUACAAUG